rnacentral:rRNA from 1 species
AUUGAACGCUGGCGGCAGGCUUAACACAUGCAAGUCGAGCGAGCGGUGGACGGGUGAGUAAUGUCUGGGAAACUGCCUGAUGGAGGGGGAUAAAUACUGGGAACGGUAGCUAAUACCGCAUACCAUCCGAUUUGCCCAGAUGGGAUUGGCUAGUAGGUGGGGUAAUGGCUCACCUAGGCGACGAUCCCUAGCUUGUCUGAGAGGAUGACCAGCCACACUGGAACUGAGACACGGUCCAGACUCCUACGGGAGUCAGCAUGGGGAAAUAUUGCACAAUGUGCGCAAGCCUGAUGCAGCCGUGCCGCGAGUGUGAAGAAGGCCUUCGGGUUGUAAAGCACUUUCAGCGAGGAGGCGUUACUCGCAGAAGAAGCACCGGCUAACUCCGUGCCAGCAGCCGCGGUAAUAC